AGAGCGAACGCUGGCGGCAGGCCUAACACAUGCAAGUCGAGCGCCCGUAGCAAUACGGGAGCGGCAGACGGGAUAGUAACACGUGGGAACGCGCCCUUCGGUUCGGAAUAACUCAGGGAAACUUGAGCUAAUACCGAAUACGCCCUUACGGGGAAAGAUUUAUUGCCGAAGGAACGGCCCGCGUCCGAUUAGCUAGUUGGUGAGGUAAUGGCUCACCAAGGCUACGAUCGGUAGCUGGUCUGAGAGGAUGACCAGCAUCACUGGGACUGAGACACGGCCCAGACUCCUACGGGAGGCAGCAGUGGGGAAUAUUGGACAAUGGGCGCAAGCCUGAUCCAGCCAUGCCGCGUGGAUGAUGAAGGCCUUAGGGUUGUAAAGUCCUUUAACGGGAAGAUAAUGACGGUACCGUAGAAUAAGCCCGGCUAACUUCGUGCCAGCAGCCGC
rnacentral:rRNA from 1 species